CACAGAUAAAAGGUCAAGAAAAACCAGGAAGAGAGAGAGAGGGCGGGAAGGAUCUAUGAACCAUAGAGAAAGAGACAAUCUACAUUGGCUGGAUUUACCGUGUACAAGCUUGACUGUUUUGGACUUACCUGUUGGCGUUUAGACCUGGACCUACCGAGAACCAGAUUUGUGUACCGAACCCUGCUAUCCUUGACCUUACCUGUGGCCUGGGUGGACCAGGACAGCGAAACAAACACACAGGUCCCAUUGUGAAGGAGAUGGUGGAGAGAUGGUCUCUGAUGGUACAACCUCUAAAAUAUGCUUUGGUGCAAUUUUCACAGGUAUAUCACACUGCAGUUGGAGGAAACAUGGGAAAGUUAUGCUUCUUUGAAAUGUGAUAAACUUGUUAUGCCACUUCGCAGACAAGUAGGAGGAAAAUGCCCUUGAUUGAUUUUCACGCUUUCUAGAGAGCUCUUCUUUAUUUAGGCGUAUUCAACAUUGUUCACGCCCUCUUAAGCCUUAAACCAUCUCUUCAAGAAUUC
rnacentral:lncRNA from 1 species